GCUAGUUGGUGGGGUAAUGGCUCACCAAGGCGACGAUCCGUAACUGGUCUGAGAGGAUGAUCAGUCACACUGGAACUUGAGACACGGUCCAGACUCCUACGGGAGGCAGCAGUGGGGAAUAUUGGACAAUGGGCGAAAGCCUUGAUCCAGCCAUGCCGCGUGUGUGAAGAAGGUCUUCGGAUUGUAAAGCACUUUAAGUUGGGAGGAAGGGCCAUUACCUAAUACGUGAUGGUUUUGACGUUACCGACAGAAUAAGCACCGGCUAACUCUGUGCCAGCAGCCGCGGUAAUACAGAGGGUGCAAGCGUUAAUCGGAAUUACUGGGCGUAAAGCGCGCGUAGGUGGUUUGUUAAGUUGGAUGUGAAAUCCCCGGGCUCAACCUGGGAACUGCAUUCUAAAACUGACUGACUAGAGUAUGGUAGAGGGUGGUGGAAUUUCCUGUGUAGCGGUGAAAUGCGUAGAUAUAGGAAGGAACACCAGUGGCGAAGGCGACCACCUGGA
rnacentral:rRNA from 1 species